rnacentral:piRNA from 1 species
UGAAAACUUUUUACAUAAUUU